CUGCAUCAAUUGAGGCCUAUUAAGCGUGUUGCUUUUGAAGGGCCUGUAACAGGAAGGCGUUUCUAUGGCUGCCCAGUCCAGGAAAAUGGUGUGAAUUGUGGUGUUGUAGAGUGGGUUGAUGGGCCUUGGCCAACUGUUUUUCAGAGAUGUCUGUGCAAGCUAUGGGAGAUGUUCCAUGAGCAGAACUUUAGAAGGGUACAGGACAUGGAGAAGUUUGAGAAGGAGUUGGCCAGGCUUAAGACUGAAAAUGACAAGCUUUGCAUUGAGUACACCAAGCUUGUUGAUGAUGUAUCCAAGAUGUUUGAUUGGCAGGAUGGUAGGGUGGACAAGAAGGUGUACCAGAAACAAGUGGAGGAGGAAGAACUUGAGAAGAAGAAGAAGGAGCUAGAGGAGAAAGCUAUGUUGGAGGUGCAGAUGAAAAAGCUCAAACUUGCAAAAGAGCAUAGGUGCAUUUUGCAGAGCCAAGCUGAUAUCAUCAAGAACACCAGGAAGGCUAUGAAGGCUGUUGAAGUUGACAGAGAUGUUCUUAAGAAGGAGAAGGCAAAGCUUGAGCUUGUUGUUGCUGAGCUGCUGAAAGAAGGGUAUGGCAGCAAGGAGAAGUUAGAGCAAAUCAAGGCCAUCCUUGAGUCUUGA
rnacentral:rRNA from 1 species